ACUUGCUUCAACAAUACACGUACUAAAGUUGCAACCAUACAGAGAAGAUUAGCAUAGCCCCAGUGCAAGGAAGACCUGUCAAUUCUUGAAGCAUUCUAUGUUUUU
rnacentral:snRNA from 1 species